GCUGGGUGUGGUGGCGCACAUCUGUAGUUCCAGCUACUUGGGAGGCUGAGACAGGAGGAUUACUUGAGCUCAGGAGGUGGAGGCUGCAGUGAGCUAUGAUCAUGCCACUGCACUCCAGCCUGGGCAACAGAGUGAGUCCCUGUCUCCA
rnacentral:SRP_RNA from 1 species